AGUGAACGCUGGCGGUAGGCCUAACACAUGCAAGUCGAACGGCAGCACAGUAAGAGCUUGCUCUUACGGGUGGCGAGUGGCGGACGGGUGAGGAAUACAUCGGAAUCUACUUUUUCGUGGGGGAUAACGUAGGGAAACUUACGCUAAUACCGCAUACGACCUACGGGUGAAAGCAGGGGAUCUUCGGACCUUUCGCGAUUGAAUGAGCCGAUGUCGGAUUAGCUAGUUGGCGGGGUAAAGGCCCACCAAGGCGACGAUCCGUAGCUGGUCUGAGAGGAUGAUCAGCCACACUGGAACUGAGACACGGUCCAGACUCCUACGGGAGGCAGAAGUGGGGAAUAUUGGACAAUGGGCGCAAGCCUGAUCCAGCCAUACCGCGUGGGUGAAGAAGGCCUUCGGGUUGUAAAGCCCUUUUGUUGGGAAAGAAAAGCAGCAGGUUAAUACCCCGCUGUUCUGACGGUACCCAAAGAAUAAGCACCGGCUAACUUCGU
rnacentral:rRNA from 1 species